CAGAGUCUUUGGGGCUGCUCUUGGUUGUGGCCAGAGUCUGAGGUUCUGAGCUGUGGUCAGCUGCCCUAACCCUCAUAGCUGCUCUGCAGUGCCCCUGCCCUGCUCUGCGGCCAGUCCUGCUUGGCACGUGAUCUCUGAUGGCUGCCUCAGCCCCUGUACUCCUGUCCUGCCAUGCGUCCUCACAUACGCCUCCUCCUGUGCCCGCUCCAGUUCAGGCCUUUGUGGAAGUUGAUGCCUGUGAUGCCCAUUGCUGACCUCUACUCUCUAUGGCCACCCAGGGCUCAGCUUUGGGGUCUCCCUGUGACCUGUGCAGGCCAGGUGGUGCCAAUCAGCACACUACACCGUGUUGUAGCCCCUGCCUGCUCCACCCACAAGUCCGGCCAACAAGUGGCAGCAGAACUUCACGUGAUGUUCCCUGUGCCCCGCACUCCUGAGCACUGUGUGCUCUCCAGAGCAGGGCCUUCCAGGCCUUGCCUCCUGCUCACCACCUGUCUACUCCUGUCUCUUUCUUACCGAUGGACAGCACGGCAGAGAGCACACAUCCCACAUAUAGCCCCUGGACCAAUCCAGCUUCCCACUGGUGCUGUGUCCUUUCCCAGUCAACACUUUGGUGACCAUUGCCAAUCAGUAGCUCAGCUGUUUCUUGAGCGCCAUGAGAAUGGAACUACACAGCGUGGGCCCGUGAGCUCAGCCUCAUGCCUGGGUGGGUCAUCCACGUAUAGCAAGUCUUCAUCUGCCGCUAAGUUGUGGGCCAUUGCAGGAGCGAGCACAGUGGCCCAUUUUGGUAGUAUCUCAGUUGUGAGUGUGCAUCCACAUCACUUGCUGGAUGCACGUUGGACAAAGCUGGAGGGGUCAGGCUGGCUUCCACCCUCCUGCAGUGGUACGGGAGCUCUGCCUGCUCUGUGCUCUCCAGUGCUGGGUGCUGGGAGCCUUUUGUGGUUAGACUGCUGGUUGUAUAGUCUAACUGUGCUGUUUUUAGAUAAUUUUCUUUAGUUGUAGAUGGACACAAUAUCUUUAUUUUUAUUUACUUUUUUAACCUGGUGCUGAGGAUCAAACCCAGGGCCUCAUGCAUGCGAGGCAAGUGCUCUCUACCACUGAGCUACAACACCAGCCCCUAAAUAUAUAAUUUUUUAAUAAUUAUUCUUUAGUUGUAGUUGGACACAAUAUCCUUAAUUAAUGAAUUUAUUUUUAUGUGGUGCUGAGGAUCGAACCCAGGGUCUUACCUGUGCUAGGCGAGUGCGCUACCGCUGAGCCCCAGCCCCAGCCCUAACUCUGCUGUUUUUAAAAACUUGGUUUAAGAUGACAGAUUAAAGCAUACCAGACCUUCAGUGAGAAGAGCUGUUUUCCUCUUGUUGCCUCAACGAAUGUGUUUCAGUCGUCCUUCUUGAUGUGCUGGAGCAGCAGAAGUAAUCCACGUUUGCACAGACCACACAGAUCCAUUGUCUUCUUGGUGGACCCAGCUGCACUGGGCUGGUGGCCAUGCCUGUGAUCCCAGGCACUCAGGAGGUUGUAGGCCAGCCUGGACAACACAGCAAGACCCUUCUGCCAAGAUGGAAGGGCUGGGGUGAGCUCUGGCCUUACUCCUGGGUUUAGUCCCCAGUGCUGCAAGAAAUAAAACU
rnacentral:tRNA from 1 species